rnacentral:rRNA from 1 species
AAAUUGAAGAGUUUGAUCAUGGCUCAGAUUGAACGCUGGCGGCAGGCCUAACACAUGCAAGUCGAACGGUAACAGGAAGCAGCUUGCUGCUUCGCUGACGAGUGGCGGACGGGUGAGUAAUGUCUGGGAAACUGCCUGAUGGAGGGGGAUAACUACUGGAAACGGUAGCUAAUACCGCAUAAUGUCGCAAGACCAAAGAGGGGGACCUUCGGGCCUCUUGCCAUCGGAUGUGCCCAGAUGGGAUUAGCUUGUUGGUGGGGUAACGGCUCACCAAGGCGACGAUCCCUAGCUGGUCUGAGAGGAUGACCAGCCACACUGGAACUGAGACACGGUCCAGACUCCUACGGGAGGCAGCAGUGGGGAAUAUUGCACAAUGGGCGCAAGCCUGAUGCAGCCAUGUCGCGUGUAUGAAGAAGGCCUUCGGGUUGUAAAGUACUUUCAGCGGGGAGGAAGGGAGUAAAGUUAAUAUCUUUGCUCAUUGACGUUAUCCGCAGAAGAAGCACCGGCUAACUCCGUGCCAGCAGCCGCGGUAAUACGGAGGGUGCAAGCGUUAAUCGGAAUUACUGGGCGUAAAGCGCACGCAGGCGGUUUGUUAAGUCAGAUGUGAAAUCCCCGGGCUCAACCUGGGAACUGCAUCUGAUACUGGCAAGCUUGAGUCUCGUAGAGGGGGGUAGAAUUCCAGGUGUAGCGGUGAAAUGCGUAGAGAUCUGGAGGAAUACCGGUGGCGAAGGCGGCCCCCUGGACGAAGACUGACGCUCAGGUGCGAAAGCGUGGGGAGCAAACAGGAUUAGAUACCCUGGUAGUCCACGCCGUAAACGAUGUCGACUUGGAGGUUGUGCCCUUGAGGCGUGGCUUCCGGAGCUAACGCGUUAAGUCGACCGCCUGGGGAGUACGGCCGCAAGGUUAAAACUCAAAUGAAUUGACGGGGGCCCGCACAAGCGGUGGAGCAUGUGGUUUAAUUCGAUGCAACGCGAAGAACCUUACCUGGUCUUGACAUCCACGGAAGUUUUCAGAGAUGAGAAUGUGCCUUCGGGAACCGUGAGACAGGUGCUGCAUGGCUGUCGUCAGCUCGUGUUGUGAAAUGUUGGGUUAAGUCCCGCAACGAGCGCAACCCUUAUCCUUUGUUGCCAGCGGUCCGGCCGGGAACUCAAAGGAGACUGCCAGUGAUAAACUGGAGGAAGGUGGGGAUGACGUCAAGUCAUCAUGGCCCUUACGACCAGGGCUACACACGUGCUACAAUGGCGCAUACAAAGAGAAGCGACCUCGCGAGAGCAAGCGGACCUCAUAAAGUGCGUCGUAGUCCGGAUUGGAGUCUGCAACUCGACUCCAUGAAGUCGGAAUCGCUAGUAAUCGUGGAUCAGAAUGCCACGGUGAAUACGUUCCCGGGCCUUGUACACACCGCCCGUCACACCAUGGGAGUGGGUUGCAAAAGAAGUAGGUAGCUUAACCUUCGGGAGGGCGCUUACCACUUUGUGAUUCAUGACUGGGGUGAAGUCGUAACAAGGUAACCGUAGGGGAACCUGCGGUUGGAUCACCUCCUUA